UACAGAGGUCCCAAGCGUUGUUCGGAUUCAUUGGGCGUAAAGGGUGUGUAGGUGGCGCCGUAAGUCGGGUGUGAAAUCUCGGGGCUUAACUCCGAAACUGCAUUCGAUACUGCGGUGCUUGAGGACUGGAGAGGAGACUGGAAUUCAUGGUGUAGCAGUGAAAUGCGUAGAGAUCAUGAGGAAGACCAGUGGCGAAGGCGGGUCUCUGGACAGUUCCUGACACUGAGACACGAAGGCCUGGGGAGCAAACGGG
rnacentral:rRNA from 1 species